UAAGGAAUAUUGGACAAUGGAGGCAACUCUGAUCCAGCCAUGCCGCGUGAAGGAAUAAGGCCCUAUGGGUUGUAAACUUCUUUUAGACGGGACAAAACCCCUUUACGUGUAAAGGGUUGAUGGUACUGUCAGAAUAAGCAUCGGCUAACUUCGUGCCAGCAGCCGCGGUAAUACGAAGGAUGCAAGCGUUAUCCGGAAUUAUUGGGUUUAAAGGGUGCGUAGGCGGACUAAUAAGUCAGUGGUGAAAUCUUCCGGCUUAACCGGGAAACUGCCGUUGAUACUAUUUGUCUUGAAUAUUGCGGAGGUAAGCGGAAUAUGUCAUGUAGCGGUGAAAUGCUUAGAUAUGACAUAGAACACCAAUUGCGAAGGCAGCUUACUACACAAUCAUUGACACUGAGGCACGAAAGCGUGGGUAGCGAACA
rnacentral:rRNA from 1 species